rnacentral:rRNA from 1 species
CCUACGGGAGGCAGCAGUGAGGAAUAUUGGUCAAUGGGCGGAAGCCUGAACCAGCCAAGUAGCGUGCAGGAUGAAGGCCCUACGGGUUGUAAACUGCUUUUAUACGGGAAUAACGCGCCUUACGUGUAGGGCUUUGCAUGUACCGUAUGAAAAAGGACCGGCUAAUUCCGUGCCAGCAGCCGCGGUAAUACGGAGGGUCCGGGCGUUAUCCGGAUUUAUUGGGUUUAAAGGGUGCGUAGGCCGCAUGUCAAGCGUGCGGGGAAAUGUCCGGGCUCAACCCGGGCCUUGCAGCGCGAACUGGCGUGCUGGAGUCCGCGGAAAGCAGGCGGAAUUCGUGGUGUAGCGGUGAAAUGCUUAGAUAUGGCGAAGAACCCCGAUUGCGAAGGCAGCUUGCUGCAGCGGAACUGACGCUGAGGCUCGAAAGCGCGGGUAUCGAACAGGAUUAGAUACCCCAGUAGUC